CAUAUAUUUCAGCAGAAAUCAUCAACUAAUAAUAUAUGGAAAAUAACAUUCCCAUCAGAAAUAAUUGAUAUAAAAAAUAGAAAUUGUAUUUGAUCCACUACCGCACCAUUUUAUUUCUGAGAUAUGAUUAUAGUGAUUGAAAAACUACUAGUGGCAAUUGCCACAUAUUUCCCAUUUACACAAAUAUCAUUUUCCAAAUAAGGCCACUCUCAAUAA